rnacentral:rRNA from 1 species
AACGAACGCUGGCGGCGUGGAUAAGACAUGCAAGUCGAGCGAGAUUUUCCGCUGUAGCAAUACAGUGGAAAGUCUAGCGGCGAACGGGUGCUUAACACGUGGGCAACCUGCGAGAAGUGGGGGAUAGCUCGCCGAAAGGCGAAUUAAUACCGCAUGUGAUUAGAGUGGACAUCCAUUCGAAAUUAAAGGUGGCGCAAGCUACCGCUUUUUGUGGGGCCCGCGGCCUAUCAGCUAGUUGGUGAGGUAACGGCCCACCAAGGCUUUGACGGGUAGCUGGUCUGAGAGGACGACCAGCCACACUGGGACUGAGACACGGCCCAGGCACCUACGGGUGGCAGCAGUCGAGAGUUUUUGACAAUGGGGGAAACCCUGAUCGAGCGACGCCGCGUGGAGGAUGAAGGUCUUCGGAUUGUAAACUCCUGUCAUUGGGGAACAAUGCGUGACGGUUAACUGCCGUCGUGUUGAUAGUACCCGAAGAGGAAGAGACGGCUAACUCUGUGCCAGCAGCCGCCGUAAGAC